UACGUAGGGUGCAAGCGUUAAUCGGAAUUACUGGGCGUAAAGCGCACGUAGGCGGUUUUGCAAGACAGAUGUGAAAUCCCCGGGCUCAACCUGGGAACUGCAUUUGUGACUGCAAGGCUAGAGUACGGCAGAGGGGGAUGGAAUUCCGCGUGUAGCAGUGAAAUGCGUAGAUAUGCGGAGGAACACCAAUGGCGAAGGCAAUCCCCUGGGCCUGUACUGACGCUCAUGCACGAAAGCGUGGGGAGCAAACAGG
rnacentral:rRNA from 1 species